GACGAACGCUGGCGGCGUGCCUAACACAUGCAAGUCGAACGGUUGAGAGGUGAGAGUUGGGAGGUUAGAAGUGAGAGCUUGAAGGUAUUGGCCAACAUGCCAAUACCAGCAAUGAAGUCUCACAUCCCGCUUCCCACAUCUCACUUCUCAAUAGUGGCGGACGGGUGAGUAACGCGUGGGCAACCUACCCAUCAGACUGGGAUAACACCGGGAAACUGGUGCUAAUACCGGAUACGCUUAUGGAGGGGCAUCCCUUUGUAAGGAAAGAAAAUCGCUGAUGGAUGGGCCCGCGUCUGAUUAGCUAGUUGGUGGGGUAGUGGCCUACCAAGGCGACGAUCAGUAGCCGGCCUGAGAGGGUGACCGGCCACACUGGGACUGAGACACGGCCCAGACUCCUACGGGAGGCAGCAGUGGGGAAUAUUGCGCAAUGGGGGAAACCCUGACGCAGCAACGCCGCGUGAGUGACGAAGGCCUUCGGGUCGUAAAGCUCUGUCGACAGGGACGAAUAGAUGACGGUACCUGAGGAGGAAGCCCCGGCUAACUACGUGCCAGCAGCCGCGGUAAUACGUAGGGGGCGAGCGUUGUC
rnacentral:rRNA from 1 species